CCAAAGGCCCUUUUUAGGGCCGCCCACUUUCUCCCAGAAAGAGCUGU
rfam:Camelus ferus unplaced genomic scaffold scaffold595, whole genome shotgun sequence.